ensembl:lncRNA
GAAUGAUAUAAUAUUGCAGUUUUACACUUUGGAGUCAUUAUUUGACAUAUAGUAAAGCAGGUGUUAUGUAGGUACGGUGUGAUGGAAAGUAUAGAAACCCACUGUCCUGUACAAGGUGUGGGUUAAAGUGGCAUGUGUGUAUUUGUACAGCUGGUGUCUGAAUUAUUCGUAGACCGGAGAAAAGCUCCCCUGAAAACCACAGCUGUGAUUCUGUAAGUGUAAUACUACUAAUAGUAAGUACUUCUGGGAACAUCUCUUUGCAUCCUUUAAACAUUAGUUUAAAACAAAAAAAGGAUCUGAAUGUUUUUGGAUGCAAUCAUCUACCACGUGGCUUUGUACUGUUGUGUUUGUGAGCUUAAUAAAUAACUAAGAGUGAAACAAACUUUCUCAUUUUUAUCCAUUUAGGUUCCCUUUAUUUGAGUUUGAAAAAUGAAAAUCAGGGAUUUUAUGAGAAACAGACUCCAAAUCAGUACUGCAUGUCCUAUUUUAUUAAACUUAUAUUCUUCUUUAUAUUAUAUUCUUCUUUUUCUAGGUGAGGUUUUUUUAUUUUGUUGUAUUUAGCAGGUGUUGAGAAAAAACUCCUCUGGAAUUGUGUAAAAGUAAAAGUUUAAACAUUUUAACAUUUAAAAUGUUAAAAUGUUCAAUGUUCACCUUAAAAAAGGUGAACAUUGAACAUUUUAACAUUUUAAGGCCAAAUAUAGGGUAACGUGCUUGUCCAUCCCAUAAUAUCACCGAUGAGAGCGGGAUUUGUUUUGUUUCAACCGGACGCGGAUUGGCCCAUCUAUACACCCAUACAUGUAUGUACCUUGCUUACAUAAACACCACAGAAGAAGACGUAUCCUAAAGAACCCAUUUUAAUAAUGUGGACUGGAGCGACCAUGAACCGUUCCCCGCCAGUCCUCAUCACUCAUCCCGCAGUUUCCUCCCGCACAUUCUGCAGAAGACGCUCCAUGGGCCAUGGAUGUGUACUUAUCUGGCUUGUUGUUCAGCCUGGAGCUCUGCGAAUAAACACAGACGAGGAAGUGCAAGGGAUUGGAUCCAUAAUGGCAGCAGCAGUGGACCAGUUUACGCAAAACAAUCAAGCCAAGGAGUGGAAGCAAAGGGGCUGUCAUUGUCCAGGGAUGUGAACCUGCAACCUUUUCAAUUUCACCCCACACUUCAAAGCCCUUCCGCCUGGACGAUCGCACGUCCCGGACAAAGGUCAAAAGACUUGGCAAAGUUCCAAAAGCCUGGUGGCAUUAUACCAGGACGUGAAAUGAAUGAAAAUGAGACUAACAGGCCCAGUUCCCCACGACAUUUCUGAAUGUGCUCCCCAAUGAGGACAAGCAUGGCUCCCGCUGGGUCAGCAGGACACUGAUUGGGUGAGAGGCUUUGUGCCUACCGCGAGCGAACGAGAGGAUGGACCCGGCGGCCGUCUUGUUUGUUUAAGAGCAGGGAGCCGCGUGGAAAUGCCUAAUGUCUUAAUUGGCGUGAGUGGCAACGGACGGUACCUGACGAGACUCAUUAAUCAGAGCAGGGUGAAAAGGCUAGUGGGUUGCAUGGCGAGGGCGAGAGAUGUGUGUGUGCGUGUGUGUCGCACUUUGUCCUUCUGGCUUGUACCAAUCUGAAACACCCACUGACACCCUCGCAGCUGUGUCUGUCACACUCGGCACAGUGUGCAGAAUGAUAAAGCAAC